AACGCAUUGAAUGGGGAAUUAGGGUUGAGUUGUGUACCGGUGAAUCUCCUUCAAUUCAAACUCUCUCUUUCUCGUUCUCUCACGCUAACGAACGGCGCCGGAGAAGCUUUCUUCUCCGAGCUGCCACCAACAACUCAGACCUCGAUUUAUCAUCUCUUAACCUUCUCCUUGAUUCGUGCGAUUAGCGAGGAAUUACGACUUGCACAAUCAAUAGCGCCAUCCAAUGCGAACGGAGAAAUUUUGCGUCAUAUCUCAACGGUGGCGAGGACGUCAGUCUCGGUGGAAGAUUCUCAGGUACCGUUGGGUUUCAGUUCGAUUCACCUCAUCUCAAUAUCUUCUUCUCUUUCUUCUUGUUCACGAUGUAUUUCUCUCUCAAUUCUUCUGUUCAAUUUCUGGUGAAUGAUUGUCGAUUGAAGUGAGGUUGCUGAUGAAUUGAUGAUGAAGAUUGUGUAAUGCUCAGAGUUGAACCGUGAAGUGAUGACGAUUUGAGAUGUAGAUUCUGAGAAGUUGUGGUGGUGGAUUGAAGAAGGUUUGAAGGAUUGGAGAAGAGCCGCUUCUGGUAUUUUUCUUUGCAGAUUCUUUGAUGAGCGAAAAUUGUGAGGGAAGAGAGAAAAUUGAAUAAGGUUUUUGGUGAAGAUUUUGUUAGAGGUUCAGAGAGAGUAUUGAGUUCUUAUGUUGAAGAUUGAAGGCUGUGAAGAUGUGAAGAAGAUGAGUGGAAGGUUCAAGGUGUAAAGAUGGUGGAGAGUGAGAAAAAAUGGAGAAGAAUGGUGGAGAAAGAUGAAGAUUGUCUCAAAGGUGAUGAAAUGGUGGAGGAUUGAGAAGAGAUUGCAAGUUAUGAAAAUGGUCAGAGCCUUGAAGUGUGGAGCAGAGUUCUAAUUUAUAGAUGCAAGGGCUGACUUGGAUUGUGUGUGCUGCAGGAUUUGGUUUUAACAUGACAAAAUGUAUCAACAAGUUGCACGAGAUGGAGUUGUAUGGACUUCCAGCGCAUGGACAUAACAAAGAAGCAUCCUGAUCAUGAGUAGAUGAAGAAGAUCCUGCUCUUAUAAUGUUUUCUUUUUUUUUUGUAAACUUGGCAAUUUGUACUGUAUUUUGACCUUUGAUAAUGUAAUUUUGGAUUUUUAUUUGAAUGUGACAAAUUCAAAUAAAUUUGAAUUUUAUUCUUUUCCUUCCCUCUUGUACUGAAGUAUCAUAAAUGAGAUCGAGGCUUGUAGUAAAUGUAAUAUAAGAACUUUGUAAUGAAGCUUGGCAAUUUGAAAUGGAUGGAUUUUGUGAAGUA